GAUGAACGCUAGCGGCAGGCUUAAUACAUGCAAGUCGAGGGGGCAGCAAUGUCACCGGCGAACGGGUGCGUAACGCGUAUGCAACCUACCCAUAUCAGGGGGGAUAGCCCUAGGAAACUGGGAUUAACACCGCAUAAUAUAUUUCACGGCAUCGUGAUUUAUUAAAAUAUUUAUAGGAUAUGGAUGGGCAUGCGUAGGAU
rnacentral:rRNA from 1 species